rnacentral:rRNA from 1 species
AUUGAACGCUGGCGGCAGGCCUAACACAUGCAAGUCGAACGAGCGGCGGACGGGUGAGUAAUGUCUGGGAAACUGCCCGAUGGAGGGGGAUAACUACUGGAAACGGUAGCUAAUACCGCAUACCAUCGGAUGUGCCCAGAUGGGAUUAGCUAGUAGGUGGGGUAACGGCUCACCUAGGCGACGAUCCCUAGCUGGUCGGAGAGGAUGACCAGCCACACUGGAACUGAGACACGGUCCAGACUCCUACGGGAGGCAGCAGUGGGGAAUAUUGCAAAAUGGGCGCAAGCCGGAUGCAGCCAUGCCGCGUGUAUGAAGAAGGCCUUCGGGUUGUAAAGUACUUUCAGCGAGGAGGCGUUACUCGCAGAAGAAGCACCGGCUAACUCCGUGCCAGCAGCCGCGGUAAUAC